rnacentral:rRNA from 1 species
CGUGUAGGCGGUCUGGUAAGUGGGAUGUGAAAUGCCCCGGCUCACCCGGGGACCUGCAUCCCAAACUACCUAGCUUGAGUAUGGGAGAGGAUGAGGGAAUUCCUGGUGUAGCGGUGAAAUGCGUAGAUAUCAGGAGGAACACCGGUGGCGAAAGCGCUCAUCUGGCCCAAUACUGACGCUGAGGCGCGAAAGCUAGGGAGCAAACG